rnacentral:ncRNA from 1 species
AGAAGAACGUUGACAAGGAGUAGUAACGGCGGCGCUGAAACAAGAGAAUUGGCGGAAGGUGCAAGCCAAUCAGAGAACCCCGUGAACUCGCCUUUGAGUUGCAAAUAUGACCCGUUUUAGUAUUUGCCGUAUUCCGCGUUAAGGACUUAAAGUGAGUGCUUGCACUAAUUUGGGUGGUACCGCGGGAGAACCCUCUCGUCCCUUUU